rfam:Treponema maltophilum ATCC 51939 genomic scaffold aczIZ-supercont-complete, whole genome shotgun sequence.
UUUUUAUCGCGAGUUUGCACGGCAAAGCUCGCAUAUUAUAUGUGCGUGCAUCCGCACGCACGGAUAAAAACUUUUUCGGAAGCUGACGCUUUCUGCAAAAGUUUUUAUGGGA